rnacentral:rRNA from 1 species
UACAGAGGGGGCGAGCGUUGUUCGGAAUUACUGGGCGUAAAGGGCGCGUAGGCGGCCAACUAAGUCAGACGUGAAAUCCCUCGGCUCAACCGGGGAACUGCGUCUGAUACUGGAUGGCUUGAAUUCGGGAGAGGGAUGCGGAAUUCCAGGUGUAGCGGUGAAAUGCGUAGAGAUCGGACGGAACACCAGCGGCGAAGGCGGCAUCCUGGCCCGUACCUGACGCUGAGGCGCGAGAGCGUGGGGAGCAAACCGG